CAGGGCUGCCCACACACCGAGCUCUUACUGAACAGCCCAGCAGUGAGUGAGAGAGGCUGUGGCACAGGCACCACAGAAGGUGCCAGGUGCUCUGAUGACCACACAUGAGGCCCAUUAUGCUGGAUUAAUUAAUGCAGAAGGUCAGUGUAGGACACUAAGUGUUGAUGGGGAGGACCUGUGAUGUCCUGGGCCCUGCCCGGGCCAGGGGAGCCUCCAAGGAGCGGCUCAUCAGGUGGCACAGAAAUGCUGAAGUGAUACACACUGACAAUUUGGACACUUUUUCAAGUUGAGAAAUUAAUCAAAACCAACAUUUUCCUGCAAAGGUUUCAUUUUCAACCAAGCAGGCCUCUUCUGAUUAAAGAAGUUGCAUAAAAAUUCUUAUUCAUCUCUGCGCAGGAGCACUGCUGUAGCUGUUGGGGACUAAGGGACAGAGGUAUUACCACCACCCACUUCAUACCCUGCACUAAGGUUACCUUACGAUUUUGCUACUUUCCUGAAAUGGUGACUAUCAAAUGGACCACUCUGAAUCCUCUGCUCUCCAAAACCCAAUAAAAAUCAGCAAGCGUGGUCAAUGGGCACAAAGAACCAAAACAGCAGCACUGAAGGGUUCUGCACUAGGAAGUUCAGUAUUACAGAGAGCAGUGCUUACACUGAAAGUAUUUACAGGACUGUGAACUGAACUUUGGUGUGAGAAUAGACACAAAUGCCUUUUUGCCAGCCUCUUUGGCCAGCAUAAAGACUGCUUUGAAUAACACUGAGAAAAUGUGACUUUCUCUGUAUAUGUGGUUGUUCUCUUCCUGAGAUUACUUCAUUACUACAGAAAACUUGGUAAGAAAUCCAAACCUGUGCUAGGCAGGGUUUGUGUCACACAUUCCUCCUUUGAUGCGGAGAAGCUGCAACAGCAUGAAGCAGGCUUUGCUUCAAGCUUUGAACUAAACUGUUCUUCUGUUCUUUACUUAAUCCAUUAUAUACAUCAGGAAAAAAAAAUCACUGUAGAAGUCUGGUUUUCCCCUAUUAAAGAAACAUCACACUAUAUUUGCCCUGCUUAUGCCCCAUCUCCCCUAAGGCCCAGAUCCAUAAUGUCCCUACACAAGUCGGUCUCAGCAGCUCACAAGUCAGUAACAAAAAUUUAGUGUGUAUGAGAUAAGGCUGAAACCACCACUGACCUGAGUGUCAUCUGCCCUCAUCCGCUCAGCUCACAGAGAAGGAAAGACAGUAAGCACAGCAACAAGGCCACAAGGCAACAAUCUGCCUGCAAACAGAAGCAGAAUGAGAAGUGGGGGAGCGACACCAAAACUGAGUUAAGAAAGAGUGACAUCUCUUAAAGGACAGAUAGUUGUGACAGAAAUUAGCUUUAAGCCAAAAAUGAUGUCUGGAUUUGAACAUUUCUAUGCAGUUAAGCUGUUACAAAACAUGCUCAUAAGAAAAUUACAUAAAUUAACUUAAUUUUUGGUACUUCAGUUAUCAUCUUUACAUACCAGUUAAGGCUGACAGUAUGAAAGAUCCUUUUCAGAUGAGUCUACAGCCUUUCUCCCUAGUAAUGGGUGUAUAUAUGCAUACUGUCUCCAUUUAUUCAUAUGUGUGUUACUCGUGUCUAAGGGAGAUAAAAUCAUUAAAGGUAAGUGAAGAAUAUUUCUUUGGGGCAUUUCCAGCAUUCUACAGAAGUCUUUUUUUCUGGCCUCAUGGAAGGAUAAAGGUUAUUCUGUUCUCUUAGGGCAAGGAAAAGAAUGGGGGAGCUUACUACACAGGAGCUGAAGGAGAGAGACAAAAAUUCUGAAAGCUUACUUUUUUGAGCUGCUGAGAAAGACAGUAAAAGCAGCUACACUGAACCCUGAUAAAGAGGUCUUUGAACCUGCAACCUAUUCAUUCUUAUUACAAGAUCGUACAUUUCCUACACAGUAGGUGCU